GAUGAACGCUGGCGGCGUGCCUAAUACAUGCAAGUCGAGCGAACAGACGAGGAGCUUACUCCUCUGACGUUAGCGGCGGACGGGUGAGUAACACGUGGAUAACCUACCUAUAAGACUGGGAUAACUUCGGGAAACCGGAGCUAAUACCGGAUAACAUGUUGAACCGCAUGGUUCAACAGUGAAAGACGGUCUUGCUGUCACUUAUAGAUGGAUCCGCGUCGCAUUAGCUAGUUGGCAAGGUAACGGCUUACCAAGGCAACGAUGCGUAGCCGACCUGAGAGGGUGAUCGGCCACACUGGAACUGAGACACGGUCCAGACUCCUACGGGAGGCAGCAGUAGGGAAUCUUCCGCAAUGGGCGAAAGCCUGACGGAGCAACGCCGCGUGAGUGAAGAAGGUCUUCGGAUCGUAAAACUCUGUUAUUAGGGAAGAACAAAUGUGUAAGUAACUAUGCACGUCUUGACGGUACCUAAUCAGAAAGCCACGGCUAACUACGUG
rnacentral:rRNA from 1 species